rnacentral:rRNA from 1 species
GAACUGAAGAGUUUGAUCCUGGCUCAGAUUGAACGCUGGCGGCAUGCCUUACACAUGCAAGUCGAACGGUAACGCGGGGCAACCUGGCGACGAGUGGCGAACGGGUGAGUAAUGCAUCGGAACGUGCCCAGUAGUG